UUGAACGCUGGCGGCAUGCCUUACACAUGCAAGUCGAACGGCAGCACGGGGGCAACCCUGGUGGCGAGUGGCGAACGGGUGAGUAAUGCAUCGGAACGUGUCCUCUUGUGGGGGAUAACCAGUCGAAAGACUGGCUAAUACCGCAUGAGAUCGAAAGAUGAAAGCGGGGGACCGCAAGGCCUCGCGCGAGAGGAGCGGCCGAUGCCGGAUUAGCUAGUUGGCGAGGUAAUGGCUCACCAAGGCGACGAUCCGUAGCUGGUCUGAGAGGACGACCAGCCACACUGGGACUGAGACACGGCCCAGACUCCUACGGGAGGCAGCAGUGGGGAAUUUUGGACAAUGGGCGCAAGCCUGAUCCAGCCAUGCCGCGUGUGUGAAGAAGGCCUUCGGGUUGUAAAGCACUUUCGGACGGAACGAAAUACGCGCGGCAUGAACAAUGCGCGUGGAUGACGGUACCGUAAGAAGAAGCA
rnacentral:rRNA from 1 species